GAUGAACGCUAGCUACAGGCUUAACACAUGCAAGUCGAGGGGAAACGACAUCGAAAGCUUGCUUUUGAUGGGCGUCGACCGGCGCACGGGUGAGUAACGCGUAUCCAACCUGCCCAUCACUUGGGGAUAACCUUGCGAAAGUAAGACUAAUACCCAAUGACGUCUCUAGAAGACAUCUGAAAGAGAUUAAAGAUUUAUCGGUGAUGGAUGGGGAUGCGUCUGAUUAGCUUGUUGGCGGGGUAACGGCCCACCAAGGCAACGAUCAGUAGGGGUUCUGAGAGGAAGGUCCCCCACAUUGGAACUGGGACACGGUCCAAACUCCUACGGGAGGCAGCAGUGAGGAAUAUUGGUCAAUGGGCGAGAGCCUGAACCAGCCAAGUAGCGUGCAGGACGACGGCCCUAUGGGUUGUAAACUGCUUUUAUAAGGGAAUAAAGUGAGUCUCGUGAGACUUUUGCAUGUACCUUAUGAAUAAGGACCGGCUAAUUCCGUA
rnacentral:rRNA from 1 species